GGAGGGACCUGAACCCGGGAGCGGCGGAUUGCAAGUCCGACACGCUGACCACUCGACCAUGCUGCCUUCUUAUGAUUUGAAAGUAGUGUUACUCUAGUUACAGGAAGGAGAGGGGAGGGAAGGGAGAGGUUGGCUGUUCACAGGUGAAUCUCUGAAUUUUUAAACUUUAAUAAUAUCCGGUAAGGAAAAUACAGGUACGAUCCUUCCUCGGAUUCCCGUAAACUUUGGUAGGUAGGUUAUGUAUGGGGAGUUAUUAUGUCCUCAAUACAUAUUAUGUCCUAUACUUUACCUGUGAUAUCCUAAACACAUACAGGGCUAAACAAGGUUAAAUAAAGCUCUACACAGUA